CUUGCUCUGUCCACCCACAUCUAACUUUCUUUUCAGCAUAUCAGGAUGGAGCUGAUUGUGUCAAAAGGAUGAAAUAUUAUCUUUCUGACUGUUAACAUAAAUAAAGUGGGUUGAGUGUUUUCCAGGUCAAAAGGCCUAUGCUACUGAGAAAGAUAGGCCUAGGAAAUUAUCCAGUGAUAUAGUGGAACUCAGUUUACAAAACAAGGAGAUAACUAAAUAAGGAAAUUUUUGAGAAUAAUAUUGAAAUGAAUUUAAAAAUAAUAAGGAUGCCGAUAAUGGAGUAAAACCAAAUUCUUUGUUAUAUUAUUAAAAAUGGGUAUUCACCCUUUUCUUAUUGUAAAGAUAGCACUGGAAUUGUGAAAGCUCAAAAAGGGGCCAAGACAGCCCUCAACCCACAUUACAUUUCCACAGGUCACACCAAGAAGGACGACUAGCAAGAUGAGCAAAUUAGCAUGCUUGAUAUACUAACAAAAACUCUUAAGUUUCCCAUUUACAAGUGACAGCAGUUCUAGUAAGGCCAAGGAAUGCUUUGCUCCAUCAAAGAAAACCAGUGAGGGUGCAGUUAUGAUGUCAAGAGAGAGCCUUGCAUUAAUCAGCAACAUGGUUACAGAGUGACACCUGAGUUCACAUCUCUAAUCUUAAAAUACGCCAACCAGCUUCAACAACUCCACACAGCAUGAAGUGAGGGAUGAAGGGCGUGCUAGUAACGACCCACCCUUGCCAACAAGGGAAAGACCAUUGCAACGACUCGCAAAGAGUCUCCCUGGUGAAGAUGGAAUGAGAGAGUGAUGGGACUGCUACUGAGAUCAAAAUACUUGGGAGCAGAUGUGAGCCAACAAAUGGAAAAGAAAAAAAGGGAAAUAUGGAUGUAGGAAGAUUUGAAGGGAAAAUAGAGCAAUUGAAUGCAACAAAUAGAAUGAAAAAAGCAAAAUAGAAAAGCACGAAAUUUGUAAAUUGAAGAAGGAAAAGUAUGUGUUAUGUUUGGG